CCUACGGGAGGCAGCAGUGAGGAAUAUUGGUCAAUGGCCGGAAGUCUGAACCAGCCAAGCCGCGUGAAGGACGAAGGUGCCAAGCAUUGUAAACUUCUUUUGUCAAGGGACAAAAUCAGGCUCGAGCGCCUGACCGAGGGUACUUUAAGAAAAAGCAUCGGCUAACUCCGUGCCAGCAGCCGCGGUAAUACGGAGGAUGCGAGCGUUAUCCGGAUUUAUGGGGUUUAAAGGGGGCGUGGGCGGGCUGUUAAGUCGGCGGUAAAAGCCCGGGGCCCAACCCCGGAGAGCCGUUGAAACUGGCGGGCUUGAGAGGACGAGAGGUAAGCGGAAUGCGCAGUGUAGCGGUGAAAUGCGUAGAUAUUGCGAAGAACUCCGAUUGCGAAGGCAGGAUACCGGAGGGGAUCUGACGCUGAGGCACGAAAGCGUGGGUAUCGAACAGGAUUAGAUACCCCUGUAGUC
rnacentral:rRNA from 1 species